ensembl:snRNA U6 U6 spliceosomal RNA
GUGUUGCUUUGGCAGCUCAUAUACUGAAAUUAGAAUAACACGGAGAUUAGCAUGGCCUCUGCUGAAGAACAACAUGUAAACUCAUGAAGCAUUCCAUUUUUUU